rnacentral:ncRNA from 1 species
GUAAAAGCUAUGAAAGGGAAGAGUAAAUAGAUCAAUUGUUUUAAGAGAGAGGGAUUGUGUGCUGAAAUAUCCCUUAAAUGAAAUCUAUUGAAAACCACCCAGGAGUUGUAUACUGAAGUUUUGUAAGUAUUUCCGUUAGCCAGCGUUAAAGGUAGAGAGAAUAGUAUUUGUGAUCUUUGCUUAUACUAUUAAGUUGGGUGGAACCACGGUAAUACUCGUCCCAGUA